UACGGAGGGGGCUAGCGUUGUUCGGAAUUACUGGGCGUAAAGGGCGCGUAGGCGGGCGCUUAAGUCGGGGGUGAAAUCCCGGGGCUCAACCCCGGAACUGCCUCCGAUACUGGGUGCCUUGAGGACGGGAGAGGUGAGCGGAAUUCCGAGUGUAGAGGUGAAAUUCGUAGAUAUUCGGAGGAACACCGGUGGCGAAGGCGGCUCACUGGCCCGAUCCUGACGCUGAGGCGCGAAAGCGUGGGGAGCAAACAGG
rnacentral:misc_RNA from 1 species